GACGAACGCUGGCGGCGUGCUUAACACAUGCAAGUCGAACGGAAAGGCCCUGCUUUUGUGGGGUGCUCGAGUGGCGAACGGGUGAGUAACACGUGAGUAACCUGCCCUUGACUUUGGGAUAACGUCAGGAAACUGGGGCUAAUACCGGAUAGGAGCUCCUGCUGCAUGGUGGGGGUUGGAAAGGUUCGGCGGUUGGGGAUGGACUCGCGGCUUAUCAGCUUGUUGGUGGGGUAGUGGCUUACCAAGGCUUUGACGGGUAGCCGGCCUGAGGGGGUGACCGGCCACAUUGGGACUGGGAUACGGCCCAGACUCCUACGGGAGGCAGCAGUGCGGAAUAUUGCAGAAUGGGCGGAAGCCGGAUGCAGCAACGCCGCGUGCGGGAUGACGGCAUUCGGGUUGUAACCCGCUUUCGCCUGUGACGAAGCGUGAGUGACGGUAAUGGGUAAAGAAGCACCGGCUAACUACGUG
rnacentral:rRNA from 1 species